rnacentral:misc_RNA from 1 species
UUUUCUUGCGGUCUUCAUUUCCUCGUCUGAUCAAAAAAUUUCAACUUCACCACCUUUCGAGUUUCAUCUGCUUCACCAAACUUUCAAUGGCGCUUUGUCCAUCCAACACGCUUCCUCCUUUCAGAAAACUUGAUAUUUUCAGGUCCGACAGUUGUCUCCCUUUGCAGCUCCGACGAUCAAACUCUGUAGAUUUCGCUGCCAAAACACCUGCCUUGCCUCAAGUCUUGUCCAAAACAAGCCAGUCGUUAUCAUCCAUUAUUACAGAGCUCGAAAUAGAACAGGAACUAGAUGGUUACACGACUAAUACCAAACUGCAAGAGAGAAAAUUAGCUGAUAUGUGGAGAGAAAUCCAUGGCCAAGAUGAUUGGGUGGGCUUGCUCGAUCCGAUGGACCCUUUUCUGCGGUCAGAGCUAAUCCGAUACGGCGAGAUGGCACAAACUUGUUACGACGCUUUUGAUUACGACCCAUAUUCCAAGUACUGUGGUAGCUGCAGAUUCAUGCGCCGUAAAUUUUUCGAGUCUCUAGGAAUGACUCACCAUGGUUAUGAGGUCACCAGGUAUCUCUACGCCACAACAGCUAUCAACCUCCCAAAUUUCUUUAAGCAAUCGCGGUGGCCAAAAGUGUGGAGCAACAAAGCAAACUGGAUCGGAUAUGUAGCAGUUUCGAACGACGAAACGUCAAGGCGUUUGGGCCGCCGUGACAUCACCAUUGCGUGGAGGGG